GAUGAACGCUGGCGGCGUGCCUAAUACAUGCAAGUCGAGCGAACAGAUGAGGAGCUUGCUCCUCUGACGUUAGCGGCGGACGGGUGAGUAACACGUGGAUAACCUACCUAUAGGACUGGGAUAACUUCGGGAAACCGGAGCUAAUACCGGAUAAUAUAUUGAACCGCAUGGUUCAAUAGUCAAAGACGGUUUUGCUGUCACUUAUAGAUGGAUCCGCGCCGCAUUAGCUAGUUGGUAAGGUAACGGCUUACCAAGGCAACGAUGCGUAGCCGACCUGAGAGGGUGAUCGGCCACACUGGAACUGAGACACGGUCCAGACUCCUACGGGAGGCAGCAGUAGGGAAUCUUCCGCAAUGGGCGAAAGCCUGACGGAGCAACGCCGCGUGAGUGAUGAAGGUCUUCGGAUCGUAAAACUCUGUUAUUAGGGAAGAACAAAUGUGUAAGUAACUAUGCACGUCUUGACGGUACCUAAUCAGAAAGCCACGGCUAACUACGUG
rnacentral:rRNA from 1 species